rnacentral:rRNA from 1 species
GAUGAACGCUGGCGGCGUGCCUAAUACAUGCAAGUCGAGCGAACAGAUGAGGAGCUUGCUCCUCUGACGUUAGCGGAGGACGGGUGAGUAACACGUGUAUAACCUCCCUAUAAGACUGGUAUAACUUCGGGAAACCGGAGCUAAUACCGUAUAAUAUAUUGAACCGCAUGGUUCAUUAGUGAAAUACGGUGUUGCUGUCACUUAUAGAUGGAUCCGCGCCGCAUUAGCUAGUUGGUAAGGUAACGGCUUACCAAGGCAACCAUGCGUAGCCGACCUGAUAGGGUGAUCGGCCACACUGGAGCUGAGACACGGUCCAGACUCCUACGGGAGGCAGCAGUAUGGAAUCUUACGCAGUGGUCGAAAGCCUGACGGAGCAACGCCGAGCGAGUGACGAAGGUCUUCGGAUCGUAAAACUCUGUUUUUAGGGAAGAACAACUGUGUAAGUAACUAUGCACGUCUUGACGGUACCUAAUCAGAAAGCCACGGCUAACUACGUG